UGACGUCAAGUCAGCAUGGCCUUUAUAUCCUGGGCUACACACACGCUACAAUGGGAAGGGACAAUAGGUAGCGAAGCCGCGAGGUGGAGCCAAUCCAGCAAAACUUCCCUCAGUUCAGAUUGCAGGCUGCAACUCGCCUGCAUGAAGUUGGAGUUGCUAGUAAACGCAGGUCAGCCAUACUGCGUUGAAUACGUUCCCGGGGCUU
rnacentral:rRNA from 1 species